UACGUAGGGCGCAAGCGUUAUCCGGAAUUAUUGGGCGUAAAGGGCGCGUAGGCGGCCAUUCAAGUGACGGGUGAAAGCCCUCGGCUUAACCGAGGAACUGCCUGUCAGACUGGAUGGCUUGAGACCGGGAGAGGUGAGUGGAAUUCCCAGUGUAGCGGUGAAAUGCGUAGAUAUUGGGAGGAACACCAGUGGCGAAGGCGGCUCACUGGACCGGAACUGACGCUGAGGCGCGAAAGCGUGGGGAGCAAACAGG
rnacentral:rRNA from 1 species